UACAGGGGGGGCAAGCGUUGUUCGGAAUUACUGGGCGUAAAGGGCUCGUAGGCGGCCAACUAAGUCAGACGUGAAAUCCCUCGGCUUAACCGGGGAACUGCAUCUGAUACUGGAUGGCUUGAGUUCGGGAGAGGGAUGCGGAAUUCCAGGUGUAGCGGUGAAAUGCGUAGAUAUCUGGAGGAACACCGGUGGCGAAGGCGGCAUCCUGGACCGACACUGACGCUGAGGAGCGAAAGCCAGGGGAGCAAACAGG
rnacentral:rRNA from 1 species